rnacentral:ncRNA from 1 species
AAAUCGGCAAAUUGGAUCCGUAACUUCGGAAUAAAGAUUGGGUUCGAGGAACGUGUUGGGCUUGGUCGGAAAGUGAAUCUGGCUGACGUGCUGGGACUGUGCUAGAUGAACCUUUCGAUGUUCUCACGCCGAUUCCGGGAUCCAAAGUCAGUCCCGUGCCUUGGACUCCCGCGGAUCUUCCUUGCUGCGAGGCUUCCCUGGCGACGCGAGCCGUUGUGGUUGUUCUCUUCGGCCGCCAUUCAACGCUCAGCUCAUAACUGGCUCGGACAAGAAGAAUCCGACUGUUUAAUUAAAACAAAGCAUUGCUCUCGCGGGUGUUGGUGCAAUAUGAUUUCUGUCUAGUGCUCUGAAUGUCAACGUGAAGAAAUUCAAGCAAGCGCGAAUAAACGGCGGGAAUAACAAUGACUCUCUUAAGUGUUUUCGGCAAUUCCUAUCACUAUGACGGCGGCGAUUGCUCUCACCA